UGAUAUGCUGAACACUGCAACCCUGUAUAUCUCGCGCACAGAAUAAUGUGAAUUAUGUAAAUCUUACUAUGUAUGUCAGAAAUAAAGUGUUAACCAUGUUAAUGGAUUUCUAUUAUGAAUUAUUUAAAAUUGAGUGGGUUGGUGCAAUAUUUGUGCCAUAUGCUGCUAAUGUGUCGUUAUCAGAUAUUCAGUGUUAAAAAGA